AUGUGCUGCCCUCAGCUCCUCCAGCUGUUCCAGAGGGUUUGCGUAUUUCUCCUUCAGGCCAAAGGGGCCAAAAGGAGACAAGAUGAGAGUAAAGGUGACUGUGGGACAAACCUUUGGGAGUGCUGGAGGAACUUGUGGUAAAACUACAACUUCAAGACACUGCUUACUACAACAAAUCCUG